AGCAGUUAGGUCCUUCUUGUCCUGUAGCAUGUCUGAUGAAAUAAAUAGGACGGUUUAAGGUACUGGCACUUGCUGAAGACGUGGACUGAGAGGGGACAUAGGGGUGGUACUGGGGCGCAAGCACUUCCAGAUUACUGCUGUGGCUGCUUCCCCGUUGCUGUGGCUGUGCUCUAACCCAGCCUUCUGAAAUGAUCCAGUUAAAGACUGCUGAAAAGGUUGUAAUGUCCUGAGUGUGGAGUGCUUCUGGUGUCUCAGAAGGAGGACCUGACAUCGGGGCUGGUUCUAGGACAUCAC